rnacentral:rRNA from 1 species
AUUGAACGCUGGCGGCAGGCCUAACACAUGCAAGUCGAACGAGUGGCGGACGGGUGAGUAAUGUCUGGGAAACUGCCUGAUGGAGGGGGAUAACUACUGGAAACGGUAGCUAAUACCGCAUACCAUCGGAUGUGCCCAGAUGGGAUUAGCUAGUAGGUGGGGUAAAGGCUCACCUAGGCGACGAUCCCUAGCUGGUCUGAGAGGCUGACCAGCCAAACUGGAACUGGGGCACGGUCCAGACUCUUACGGGAGGCAGAAGUGGGGAAUAUUGCACAAUGGGCGCAAGCCUGAUGCAGCCAUGCCGCGUGAAUGAAGAAGGCCUUCGGGUUGUAAAGCACUGUCAGCGGGGAGGCGUGACCCGCAGAAGAAGCACCGGCUAACUCCGUGCCAGCAGCCGCGGUAAUUC